UGGAAUUCCCUGACUCUCCUCUUUAACGGUC
rnacentral:piRNA from 1 species